UGUAAAAAUGUGGAUUUAAAAAAAUGUAAAUCUGCAAACAUGUAAAAAUGUAAAUAUUUGAAUAUGUAGAACUAUGUUAUGUUGUGUGUGGUGAAGACUAGAGGUUUCUUUCUUUUGUAUAGAUAAUGUUUUGGAAGCUUUAGUUUGUGUAGAUAGUUGGUGUGUGUAUAGCUGUUCUGUAUACACAUAUGUGUGUAUAUACUUGUAUAUAAUGUCUUUGUGCAAUGUGUAUAUAGGCCCCCCUUUCUUUUCCCUCUUCAGUUUAGUUCUAGCACACACACACCAAAUGCGCAUGCACCACCAAUGACGUGUCAGUGGUCUGGUGCCAACAUGUGACUGGUGCCUGUGCAGCCUCCAGCAAAGAUCUGUGGACCUUCCAGUCUGAGGCUGAUUUUCCUUGUAGGCACAUCACAUACACGAAGAGAGGAGCAGAAAAAACCUCAAGAUUCUCUCUUUGAAAAAGAUUCUCAAAAAGUCUGGUGUUGUUGUUUUUUACCUUAAGAGGACUGGACUUUGCUCAUUUUGCCAGAGAGGAGAAAUCUCAAGAAUGGACUUAUGCCCAUGGGACUUCUGGGAACAAGAAGAUCUCCACUUCCUCUUUUCUUGGGGCUACCUCAAAAGUACAAGGAGAAUCAAGCAUCAGGAACAUAACCCUAAGGCUUAAAAAUUGAUCCUUUGCUUUGUUUAUCCCCCCCCCAGCGGAAGCAUUACAAAGAAAUGACAGUGAACUUUCCACGAGGUUUCUG